AUUGAACGCUGGCUGCAUGCUUUACACAUGCAAGUCGAACGGUAACAGGGUGCUUGCACCGCUGACGAGUGGCGAACGGGUGAGUAAUACAUCGGAAUGUACCCAGUAAUGGGGGAUAACGCUUCGAAAGGAGUGCUAAUACCGCAUACGCCCUGAGGGGGAAAGUGGGGGACCGCAAGGCCUCACGUUAUUGGAGCAGCCGAUGGCUGAUUAGCUAGUUGGUGAGGUAAAGGCUCACCAAGGCGACGAUCAGUAGCGGGUCUUAGAGGACGAUCCGCUACACUGGAAGUGAGACACGGUCCAGAUUCCUACGGGAGGAAGCAGUGGGGAAUCUUGGACAAUGGGCGAAAGCCUGAUCCAGCAAUGCCGCGUGCGUGAAGUAGGCCUUUGGGUUGUAAAGCGCUUUUGUCUGGGAGCAAAUCCUGGCCUCUAAUACAGGUCGGGGAUGAGAGUACCAGAAGAAUAGGGACCGGCUAACUACGUGCCAGCUGCCGCCGUAAAAC
rnacentral:rRNA from 1 species